ACGGGAGACACACGGCGGGUGCUAACGUCCGUCGUGAAGAGGGAAACAACCCAGACCGCCAGCUAAGGUCCCAAAGUCAUGGUUAAGUGGGAAACGAUGUGGGAAGGCCCAGACAGCCAGGAUGUUGGCUUAGAAGCAGCCAUCAUUUAAAGAAAGCGUAAUAGCUCACUGGUCGAGUCGGCCUGCGCGGAAGAUGUAACGGGGCUAAACCAUGCACCGAAGCUGCGGCAGCGACGCUGAUGCGUUGUUGGGUAGGGGAGCGUUCUGUAAGCCUGCGAAGGUGUGCUGUGAGGCAUGCUGGAGGUAUCAGAAGUGCGAAUGCUGACAUAAGUAACGAUAAAGCGGGUGAAAAGCCCGCUCGCCGGAAGACCAAGGGUUCCUGUCCAACGUUAAUCGGGGCAGGGUGAGUCGACCCCUAAGGCGAGGCCGAAAGGCGUAGUCGAUGGGAAACAGGUUAAUAUUCCUGUACUUGGUGUUACUGCGAAGGGGGGACGGAGAAGGCUAUGUUGGCCGGGCGACGGUUGUCCCGGUUUAAGCGUGUAGGCUGGUUUUCCAGGCAAAUCCGGAAAAUCAAGGCUGAGGCGUGAUGACGAGGCACUACGGUGCUGAAGCAACAAAUGCCCUGCUUCCAGGAAAAGCCUCUAAGCAUCAGGUAACAUCAAAUCGUACCCCAAACCGACACAGGUGGUCAGGUAGAGAAUACCAAGGCGCUUGAGAGAACUCGGGUGAAGGAACUAGGCAAAAUGGUGCCGUAACUUCGGGAGAAGGCACGCUGAUAUGUAGGUGAAGUCCCUCGCGGAUGGAGCUGAAAUCAGUCGAAGAUACCAGCUGGCUGCAACUGUUUAUUAAAAACACAGCACUGUGCAAACACGAAAGUGGACGUAUACGGUGUGACGCCUGCCCGGUGCCGGAAGGUUAAUUGAUGGGGUUAGCGCAAGCGAAGCUCUUGAUCGAAGCCCCGGUAAACGGCGGCCGUAACUAUAACGGUCCUAAGGUAGCGAAAUUCCUUGUCGGGUAAGUUCCGACCUGCACGAAUGGCGUAAUGAUGGCCAGGCUGUCUCCACCCGAGACUCAGUGAAAUUGAACUCGCUGUGAAGAUGCAGUGUACCCGCGGCAAGACGGAAAGACCCCGUGAACCUUUACUAUAGCUUGACACUGAACAUUGAGCCUUGAUGUGUAGGAUAGGUGGGAGGCUUUGAAGUGUGGACGCCAGUCUGCAUGGAGCCGACCUUGAAAUACCACCCUUUAAUGUUUGAUGUUCUAACGUUGACCCGUAAUCCGGGUUGCGGACAGUGUCUGGUGGGUAGUUUGACUGGGGCGGUCUCCUCCUAAAGAGUAACGGAGGAGCACGAAGGUUGGCUAAUCCUGGUCGGACAUCAGGAGGUUAGUGCAAUGGCAUAAGCCAGCUUGACUGCGAGCGUGACGGCGCGAGCAGGUGCGAAAGCAGGUCAUAGUGAUCCGGUGGUUCUGAAUGGAAGGGCCAUCGCUCAACGGAUAAAAGGUACUCCGGGGAUAACAGGCUGAUACCGCCCAAGAGUUCAUAUCGACGGCGGUGUUUGGCACCUCGAUGUCGGCUCAUCACAUCCUGGGGCUGAAGUAGGUCCCAAGGGUAUGGCUGUUCGCCAUUUAAAGUGGUACGCGAGCUGGGUUUAGAACGUCGUGAGACAGUUCGGUCCCUA
rnacentral:rRNA from 1 species